UCACGAAAUGGUUUGAGCUAAUUGUAUAUAGCUUAUAGGUUAUACCCAGUAUGUGGCAUAAUACUGGAAAAAGGUAUAAUUAGGUGUGAUAGGCUUCUCAAAAACCAGGAUAUCUUGAUAGCGCUUAAACGUAUUUAGUACGCAAGACAAAUAUAAAGUGUUUAGGCUUUAUAUAGCUUCAAAAAUGAUUUCGGAACUUAAAGGUUUAAUCAUCUUUAAAUAGAAGAUCAAAGUAUUAAUUUUCCUUUAUUUGAGGUAAGUACGUGCUUCUAUAAAUAAUUGAGGUACAUAGUAAUAAUGUUACCAUAAGUAUUAAUUAAGGCGUUUAUAAUGAACUCGGCAACUAAUAUUCUCGACUGUUUACCAAAAACAUAGCUAUAUGAGAUUAUAUAUAGUGAUUUCUGCUCAAUGUAUUAUAAAUAGCCGCAGUACUCUGACUGUGCAAAGGUAGCAUAAUCAAUUGACUUAUAAUUGAGGUCUAGUAUGAAAGAAAAUAUGGGGAUAGACUGUAUAAAAAACGUUCUUUUAAAAUUACUUAAUAAGUGAAAAGGCUUAUCUUUAAAUAAUAGACGAGAAGACCCUAGAAAUUUUGAGAAUAGAUAGUAUAUAGGUUUUUGUUGGGGCGACAUAGUAGCAUUAUAACCUACUAAGGUGAAUAUGAUUAUUAUAUUAGGAAUAAUUAAAUUACUCUAGGGAUAACAGCAUAAUAUUCAAAAGUUUGUGACCUCGAUGUUGGACUAGGAUACUACCGCCUAGAAGGUUGCUAGUAAGGCUCUGUUCGAGCAUUUGUUCCUACAUGAUCUGAGUUCACACCGGCGUAAGCCAGGUCAGUUUCU
rnacentral:rRNA from 1 species